GGCCGGUUGGGCCCAAUGGCAAGGCGUCUGACUACGAUCCCCUUCUUCCCUCCUAUCGAGAGUUGAGAGAUUCGUGUAAUCAGGAGAUUCUGGGUUCGACCCCCAGGCUGGUCA
rfam:Colletotrichum fioriniae PJ7 Scaffold_151.1, whole genome shotgun sequence.